rnacentral:sRNA from 1 species
GUCUAUGCCUCCUGAGUUCUGGGAUUAUAGGCAUACAACACUCUAUCUGACUUUUAAAAUUCUUUUACUAAUGAUACCAGAAGGGAACUCCAAUCUCCCCAGUAAUGAUACGAUGUUUAAAAUUAUUUAUUUAGGGGUGGGGCAUGUGUCUGUGUUUACAAGUAGGCUAUGCUUCCCAGGGUGCACUUGUGUAGUAGUAAUUUUCUCCAAGAUAAAAUUUUCUGUCUUAGAGGAAAGCUCCUAAAGAUGCUGAAUGUCCUAAAGAGAGAUGAAACAUUUUAUUCUUCCAGGAAGGUUGAUCGAAACUAAGGAAGUAAACAACUCAAAAGUUUCUGACAGUCCCUGAAACUGAGCAGAUUCACGAGGCCUCUUCCUCUUCAGCCUUACACAAACUGUAAUGUGUGUGUGUGUGUGUGUGUGUGUGUGUGUGUGUGCGCGCGCACUCCUCUAGCAGGUGACUGAGAGUGUGACCUGCUCGGAGCACAAAGCAGUUUAGCUAAUUUGUAGCUACAAUGGUGCUUUGAUCUGCUAUCAGUUCCUAUAUAGAUGAGUGUUCAUAUCUUCCCAAGAACAGUGCCACCCAACAGGACAUCAGGAAAUAUCUGGAGGGACUCAGAGCCUUCCUUCAACCAUGCUGGUCCCAGAAGCUGAACUCAAGUCAUCAGGUUUGGCUACAAGUGCCUUUACCUACUGAACCAUUUCACUAGUCCAAAAACCACUUUUCCCCUCCUUAUAGGCAUCUUUAACAUCUUCCUUUUUCAAUCUUCUUGUUUCUUUGAUCUUUCAAUUUUUUGUGCCUAUGCCAUCUAAAUUUUUUAAGAACAAGACAGUUCUCUCUAAAAAUAUUCUGAAAAUUACUCCUGAAGCACUCUUUGUUCCAAAAAACAUCUGCCAUUUUGCUUGUAGAGAUGCCCACCUUCUUGUGUGCACACAUGCAAGCUUGUGUGUGGUGUGUGCACAUGACUUAUUUGUAUGUGUGGGUCUCAUGUUGGGUCCUUUCCACUUAAUAAUCAGUUCUGAAUAAGAACAGUUCUCUUGGAUGCCCUACUUGCUUAACAAAGUCCUCCUCACUUACAGAGAUGUGAAACACAAUGUCCUGCAAGCUCUGAGCCAUGCUUUAGAGAAAGAAGAAUUCACUGGAAGCACAGGUUCAUGUCAUGUUGCCAAGACUAGCCUCGAACUCAUGCUCAGGCCGGCUGUAAUCCCAGCACUUAGAAGGCUAAGGCAAGGGCAUCUUGGUUAGAAGCCAGCCUGGACUAUGGCCAAGAGGAGUGGGAAUCCACCUGAAAACACCACAAUGCUUCUUUCUGAAAUAUGGAGAUACACUACAUUCUUGAUAAGAAGACUCGGCAUUUUCAGAUGAUGCUCAUUAGAUGAAAGUUAAUAUCUUAAAAAAUUCAAUCAAGCAUUUUAUCCAGGACCUGGAGAAGCUGAAUGUAAGGUUCACUUGGCGUAGACAAGAAUAGAAGGAAACCCCUGAGAGACUUGUCAGGGCAGAAAAGCAAGUCAGCAGGUGUCAAACCUGCAGCAUCCUGGAAGGCUCAUGCCCCACGGCAGAGGUCAAGCAGUCCAGCAAAGAUAAGUGCAGAGUAAACAGCUGAAGACAGGCAGUAAGGGAACCCAUCCAGCCGUGAGCUUCAUGUUGUCCCGUGAGUAAUGCUGGGAUACACACAACAGCCAAUGGGAGAACAAGGAACUGAGCCAAAUGGUUCUACUCCUCAUACAAAACUCCAGACCAAACUCCAUGUGAGCUAGAGGUUUAAAUGAAGGGGUACGGGUGCCUUUGUGAUUGGGGACUUUCCAGGGUGGCAAGGCUUCUCGGAUUGGCUGCCCGCAGCUGUGGUUGGCUGACCAUCGGUUCCUGGAUCUGGGUUCUCAUUUCUGAGAAGCGAAAGCCUAGGCCUAGUCUCCCAAACUGCCAGUUUGCAGCCUGUCAUGGAGUCAGCCUGGCUCUGGCUAACUCAGUCCUGUCGAUGGCUAAGUAGCAGCAUCAUAAGUCAGAGGAACCCAACGAAGACAUCUAUCUAACAGUUCAUCUGAGCAGUGCGGAACACCCACCCUCUUCAGCAGCCGAUGGAACGGCCUAAAACAGAUCACAUAUGUGAGAAAAUUAAAAUAAUGUUUUGUAUCCUUUUAGACCGCCGUGGAAUAAAGCUAGAGACCAACAGCAAGAAAAAACAAAACAAACAAAAAAAAACUUCACAAACCACAGAAACUAAACAACAAGGUCUAAUAAUGACCUUGCUAAAAUAUAAAUAAAUAAAUAAAUCAGGAAAUUUUUAA